AGUGAACGCUGGCGGUAGGCCUAACACAUGCAAGUCGAACGGCAGCACAGUAAGAGCUUGCUCUUACGGGUGGCGAGUGGCGGACGGGUGAGGAAUACAUCGGAAUCUACUUUUUCGUGGGGGAUAACGUAGGGAAACUUACGCUAAUGCCGCAUACGACCUACGGGUGAAAGCAGGGGAUCUUCGGACCUUGCGCGAUUGAAUGAGCCGAUGUCGGAUUAGCUAGUUGGCGGGGUAAAGGCCCACCAAGGCGACGAUCCGUAGCUGGUCUGAGAGGAUGAUCAGCCACACGGGAACUGAGACACGGUCCAGACUCCUACGGGAGGCAGCAGUGGGGAAUAUUGGACAAUGGGCGCAAGCCUGAUCCAGCCAUACCGCGUGGGUGAAGAAGGCCUUCGGGUUGUAAAGCCCUUUUGUUGGGAAAGAAAAGCAGCAGGUUAAUACCCCGCUGUUCUGACGGUACCCAAAGAAUAAGCACCGGCUAACUUCGUG
rnacentral:rRNA from 1 species